rnacentral:rRNA from 1 species
UACGAAGGGGGCUAGCGUUGUUCGGAUUUACUGGGCGUAAAGCGCACGUAGGCGGAUCGUUAAGUCAGGGGUGAAAUCCUGGGGCUCAACCCCAGAACUGCCUUUGAUACUGGCGAUCUCGAGUCCGGAAGAGGUGAGUGGAACUCCUAGUGUAGAGGUGAAAUUCGUAGAUAUUCGGAUGAACACCAGUGGCGAAGGCGGCUCACUGGUCCGGUACUGACGCUGAUGUGCGAAAGCGUGGGGAGCAAACAGG